rnacentral:misc_RNA from 1 species
AAGUCGUAACAAGGUUUCCGUAGGUGAACCUGCGGAAGGAUCAUUAACACGUAUCCACGUUUAUCAACAAUUAUCACCGAACUCGUUCUCUCCGAACAACCUAACUCCUAGCUGUCUAGAUGGGAUUAUAAUGGGUCCCUGUUCUGCUGCAAAGCGGGGCAGUGUGGCAUAUUCUGUCAGGCUUUCACUCCUCGAGAGUGUGGCGAAGUACCUGGAUUGUCGGACCAACUAUCAUUCUAUUGAUCCAACCAUUUUGGGUCGUAGUCUGGUCACCAUACCAAUUUCACCCUAUUUUACCCAUUUGACUAAUUACUACAUUCUUAGGGAGAAAUCCUUUUGAAUUCUAAGAUUUAUCUUAACUAAGCACAACUCUUAGCAAUGGAUAUCUUGGUUCUC